rnacentral:sRNA from 1 species
ACCCCAGCUAGUCCGACGGGAUGAAUAGCGGGUUUCCCUACCUGCAUGCUGGGGUUCCUGUUUGGGG